AAGAGGCUGUUUUCCCUGUCAUCAGGGGAGAGUGUGGAGCAGCAGGUGACACAGGAGAACUCUCUUUCGGACACAGCUGCCCAGGAUGGGUUCUCCCAGGAUGGGCAGCCCUGGACACUGCAGCGUGUGAUCAGGCAUUGUCGCCCGUGUCAGCGCUCUGCCCUGCUUGCACCAACACCUUCAGCUGUGCUGUGAAGCUGGAGCGGCGGGACAGGGCCGCGGAUGGGGCUGCUGCCUCUUCCCCUCCUCUCGAGAAGGCCACCGCAAGGCUGGCAGGAGCAGCGGGACAGGAGCCGAGCCCCCCGCCAGCAGCUCGCAAGGCCAGCUUGCCUGUAAAAGAAGAGCUCCUCGAAGAGCGUGAAGCGCAGGUGGAAGCUUCGGCCUCGGAUGUGCCUUGCCCCAGCCACGCUCCGUUCCCCCUGCGGAAGAGUCCUGGGCAGCGCUACCAGGACAAGGGAGACCUGGUGUACAUAAAGCGGGAGGCAAGCGGGGCCGGCGGCCUGUGCACCUACCUGCUCGCGGGGCUGCCGC